AGUGAAAGGGUGAGCUCUGUAUGCCGUGAAAGCCAGGACGUUAAUGAAGACCAGAUUUUACAAAUACUGGACUCUAAAUCGCACAAAAGAGAAGACCUGGUGAAGGCAUGCAACUGUCUUGGAGUGUCAACAACUGGCUCACAAACAGACCUUAUAAACAGGCUGGAGGAACUUCUCCUUUAUAAGGAGGUUUACCCCAAAAUGUUUGUAAAGCUGAAAAAAGCUGGAGGUGGAGUAUUACACAUGGGCUGCACCCAUGGUGUUGUAUAUUAUACAUCACCAUUAUGGUGGCAAGAAUCUGCACGGG